GCCUAAAAUUUAGCCCUAAUAUUCUUUAUUUUUUUCUCCACAUCUAACAACCGCCACUAAAACAUUCUAAUAAUCUAGUACAGGCGAUCGAAACACUUCUAGGAGCUAUACAUAGUACUGCAAAGGAACAAUGAAAUAGAAAUGAAAUAAUAUUAAAGCCCCACACAGUAGAGACUUCCCCUCGUACCUUUUGCAU
rnacentral:rRNA from 1 species